ACUGGUAGGCUUGGGACCGGGAGAGGUGGGAGGUACUCCAGGGGUAGGGGUGAAAUCUCGUAAUCCUUGGGGGACCACCGAUGGCGAAGGCAUCCCACCAGAACGGGUCCGACGGUGAGGGACGAAAGCUGGGGGCACGAACCGGAUUAGAUACUCGGGUAGUCUCAGCUGUAAACGAUGCUCGCUAGGUGUCAGGUGCGGUGCGACCGCAU
rnacentral:rRNA from 1 species